rnacentral:rRNA from 1 species
UACGUAGGGAGCAAGCGUUGUCCGGAAUCAUUGGGCGUAAAGCGCGCGUAGGUGGCUUCGUAAGUCCGUUGUGAAAGUCAAAGGCUCAACCUUUGAAAGCCGAUGGAUACUGUGAGGCUAGAGUCCGGAAGAGGCGAGUGGAAUUCCUGGUGUAGCGGUGGAAUGCGCAGAUAUCAGGAGGAACACCAAUAGCGAAGGCAGCUCGCUGGGACGGUACUGACGCUAAGGCGCGAAAGCGUGGGGAGCGAACAGG